CGACCUGCGCCGUGCCCGCGCCGCGGCGCUCAACAUCGUGCCCACCUCCACCGGCGCGGCCAAGGCCGUGGCGCUGGUGCUGCCCAACCUCAAGGGCAAGCUCAACGGGAUCGCGCUCCGGGUGCCCACCCCCAACGUGUCCGUGGUCGACCUUGUGGUGCAGGUCUCCAAGAAGACCCUCGCCGAGGAGGUGAACCAGGCGUUCCGCGACGCCGCCGCCAACGAGCUCAAGGGCAUCCUCGACGUCUGCGACGAGCCGCUCGUGUCCGUCGACUUCAGGUGCUCCGACGUGUCCUCCACCAUCGACGCGUCGCUCAGCAUGGUCAUGGGAGACGACAUGGUCAAGGUCAUCGCGUGGUACGACAACGAGUGGGGUUACUCCCAGAGGGUCGUCGACCUCGCCGACAUCGUCGCCAACCAAUGGAAGUGAACGCCGGACGGCGGCAUUGCCCUGUGAAGUGACUCCUCUCGAAAUUUUCCCCAGCCAUCGUCACGGAUGAUCGAUUCUUUGUAAUGAGAAUUCAGAGUAUCGAACUCCCAACAGCUUCUUUUUUUUCCUUUCUUUUCUUGUUCUUCUUUUUUCUUUCUCUGAUUUUUCAGUGUCCAGACACGGAUUAUAAUAGACUUCCUGCAAAGGAAGUCUCAACGCUGUGCAUCUGUAAUAUAUACUAUCGUUUGCCAGGUUCUGAUGUAGAAUUCAACUCGUUCUUGGAUUUGGAACCUUCCCAUCAUUUUCACCUUUAUUGCUAUCUAAAAAUGCAUGAUCAACUCACAAAGAAAAGUUUGAACCAUACACGAAAGUUACCAUAAAAUGAAAAGUUUGAACUUCUAAUGGCAAUUGCAAAAUUUAAGGGAGCACAACCAUGCAGCCCAUUAUCAGAGUUUUUAUGUUAUUUUUGCGAAACUCAUUAUCAGAGUUAUCCACACAAAUUGACUCACAAGAUAAGAGAUUGCGAUCUGUGCGUCAAACCUAGGUGGAUGAUGGCAUGAACUACUUAGAGAGUAGACCCACAACUUUUGUGGGUUGUAUUUUCGUCGGACAUCAUGGUUCACAUGUUUGCCAUCCUAUAUGCUUGGUGCCAAUCAAAGUGUGUGAGUGGUCAAGAAUAUAUGGAAAUCUUGAGGGAUAAAU
rnacentral:lncRNA from 1 species